rnacentral:rRNA from 1 species
UACGGAGGGGGCGAGCGUUAUUCGGAAUUAUUGGGCGUAAAGGGCGCGUAGGCGGCCCUGUAAGUCAAAGGUGAAACCCCUCGGCUCAACUGAGGAACUGCCUUUGAAACUGCAGGGCUUGAGGCCGGGAGGGGGUAGCGGAAUUCCCAAUGUAGCGGUGAAAUGCGUAGAUAUUGGGAGGAACACCAGUGGCGAAGGCGGCUACCUGGACCGGUUCUGACGCUGAGGCGCGAAAGCAUGGGGAGCGAACAGG